rnacentral:rRNA from 1 species
GUGGCGCGCCGGGCUUGGUCGGGAAGUGGAGCGGUGCCAACGUGCCGGGCCUGGGCGAGGUGAAGGGCGCUCGUCGUCCGGACCCUAGCUCGGUCCCGUGCCUUGGCCACCCACGGACCUUCCUUGCUGCGAGCCUCCCGGCUGUCUAGUUUCCGGCCCAGCCGGAGUACGGGCCGGAAGGCUCUUCGGCCGCCAUAG